rnacentral:lncRNA from 1 species
AAUGCUGGGAUUGUUGACUGACAGAUAAAAUAGUGUACACGUAGGCAAGGGUGGUGGUUUUAAUUGGAGUGCCCUCGCUCAGUCGUUCGGGGCAGAAAGGGGGUCGAAAUCAGGGUUCGUCGCCAGGGGAUCGAGCAGGAGAAGUGAGGGUGGCGGCUGCGGCGGCGCUCGGCGACGACGGUGACGCUCGACGACGGCAGCGACGCUCGACGACGGCGGCGACGCUCGGUCGUAGCGUCGAGGAUGUCGUCUCCAUCCGGUGCGUCUUCGUCGUGCGGCGGAUGCGGAUGGUUGUCGCGGUCGACGGUGCCGUACAGGAAGAAGGCUCCGCGGUGGAUUUCAUGGAGUCCUCGCAGCCCAAGGAGGUAUUACAAGCAUGUGUAGAUGCCAUGGCGAGUUCGUUCAUCUUCUCUGCUUCCUCUCUGAAAAAUCCUCCUUUUUGCUGAUUUCGUUUCUUCUUAUUUUCUCGAAAUGUACAGACUAGAGGAUCUUGCUACGUUUGGUGGCAUGAUGAUGCUACAACGGAGUAUCUUCAUGAUCUGGUUGGUCAUAUGAGAGAUGCAGUGUGGAGGCUGCAGGGGCAAGUUACAACUCAAAUGAAGUAAAUGGAGCUUCAGUUUAGUUGCAUUAAGAAUACUCUUACAGGACUGAUUUUUAGCUUAAUGUAGCAGGUGUAAUUGCAGAAAAUUGCAAUGUAAUUGCAGAAGUUGUAUGCAGUACUGAUGUUGGUAGCACUUGUUUAGCUUAAUGUAUCAGAUGUAAUUGCAGAAAUUGCAAUAUAAUUGGAGAACUAGAAUUGCAGAAAUAGCAAUGUAAUUGGAGCACUUGUUUGCCUUUUAUUGCACCAAUGGCGUUUGCAAUUGAAUUGUAGAAAUUG